UGAUAGUACCCGAAGAGGAAGAGACGGCUAACUCUUGUGCCAGCAGCCGCGGUAAUACAGAGGUCUCAAGCGUUGUUCGGAUUCAUUGGGCGUAAAGGGUGCGUAGGCGGCGCGGUAAGUCGGGUGUGAAAUCUCGGGGCUUAACUCCGAAACUGCAUUCGAUACUGCCGUGCUUGAGGACUGGAGAGGAGACUGGAAUUUACGGUGUAGCGGUGAAAUGCGUAGAUAUCGUAAGGAAGACCAGUGGCGAAGGCGGGUCUCUGGACAGUUCCUGACGCUGAGGCACGAAGGCCAGGGGAGCAAACGGGAUUAGAUACCCCGGUAGUCCUGGCAGUAAACGGUGCACGUUUGGUGUGGGAGGAUUCGACCCCUUCUGCGCCGGAGCUAACGCGUUAAACGUGCCGCCUGGGGAGUACGGUCGCAAGAUUAAAACUCAAAGAAAUUGACGGGGGCCCGCACAAGCGGUGGAGUAUGUGGCUCAAUUCGAUGCAACGCGAAGAACCUUACCAGGCCUUGACAUGCAUCUCUAAGUUGGUGAAAGCCAGCGAGUCCCGAAAGGGACAAUUUGCACAGGUGCUGCAUGGCUGUCGUCAGCUCGUGUCG
rnacentral:rRNA from 1 species